AGUGUUCCAGGAUCAGCUGAAGUGGAUGAUGCUCCCUCUGACUUCCCAUCUCACUUCAUCUCAUCUCCUCCUGAAGGUAUUGUAUCAUCACAUGUCAUCACAAGAAGGUUGUCCUCAGUGGAGACUAGAUCCAAAUUUGACAUAGGGAUGUACAUGCACACAUCCAUUCCUGCUGCCUGGACAGCCACGUAUGUUUAGAAUCCCAGUGUCCACAGUUGCAGUGUUUACAAAGUCUCCCAGUUAGGAUGUCCUCACUUUCUUCAAAGGUAAAGAGUGCCUGGAGAGGGGGAUCAAGAUGGUGGAGCUCACCUCCCCACCCAACUCCCAAUACCUCAAAAACACAUCUAUAUGUGGAACAAUUCUCAUGGAAAACUGGAAACCAGCAGAACUCGAUCGUCAUGUACGUUACCAUAUGUGAAAGAGACAGCCAGUGGGAGUCUGAUGCAUGACGCAGGGCACCCAAAGCCAGUGCUCUGUGACAACCUGGAGGGACAGGGUGGGUAGGG